AUGGCUGCAGGUGGUGCUUCUCUUCUUACUGCUGUCGUUGUUUUCUCCAUGCUGAUCGCGUCUUCCCUGGGGGCCCCGAGGCCUUUAUGCAGCGAGUGCGAGACGCAAUGCCCUACCAGCUGUCAGGCGGAGGCUGAAACCUUCUGCAGUGGCUACUGCCGCCGCGGUGGAGGCCUUCAGGAGGGCUGCCAGAGAUCCGUCUUUGAAGACUGCACCGUAAAGGGUACCUGCUGCAGUAGCAACGGCACAUGCACUUGCGACUGCAACACUGUGGCUGAAAGGAGUUGCAUCAGCAUCAGCGACGGCACCCUACAAUGUGAACCUUGCAAGCGCAGCAUAUACGACCAGUGCGGUUCCACCUGUAGGAAUGACUGCAACAACAACUGCAAGAAGAAACGGUGCCGCCAUGCCUAG
rnacentral:rRNA from 1 species